UACGGAGGGAGCUAGCGUUGUUCGGAAUUACUGGGCGUAAAGCGCACGUAGGCGGCUUUGUAAGUAAGAGGUGAAAGCCUGGAGCUCAACUCCAGAAUAGCCUUUUAGACUGCAUCGCUUGAAUCCGGGAGAGGUGAGUGGAAUUCCGAGUGUAGAGGUGAAAUUCGUAGAUAUUGGGAAGAACACCAGUGGCGAAGGCGGCUUACUGGUCCGAUACUGACGCUGAGGUGCGAAAGCGUGGGGAGCAAACAGG
rnacentral:rRNA from 1 species